UUAUAUGCCUAAAUACUUUAAAGGUACAAGAUCCUGUCUGAUCUGAGAAGCUAAGCAGGGUCAGCCUUGAUUAGUACUUGGAUGGGAAAAUGAUGAUGAACAUCAGGGAGCUAUAGGCU
rnacentral:rRNA from 11 species